rnacentral:rRNA from 1 species
CACGUAGGCACCAAGCGUUGUCCGGAUUUAUUGGGCGUAAAGCGCUCGUAGGCGGCCCGGUCAGUCAGAUGUGAAAUCUCCACGCUCAACGUGGAGAGGUCAUUUGAUACUGCCGAGCUUGAGUCCGGUAGGGGAGUGUGGAAUUCCCGGUGUAGCGGUGAAAUGCGCAGAUAUCAGGAGGAACACCGGUGGCGAAGGCGGGUCUCUGGGCCGAUACUGACGCUGAGGAGCGAAAGCGUGGGGAGCGAACAGG